rnacentral:tRNA from 6 species
CGGGACGUAGUUCAGCCUGGUAGAGCGCUUGCAUGGGGUGCAAGAAGUCGGAGGUUCGAAUCCUCUCGUCCCGACCA